CAGUAGCCACGGUAACACGAGGGGGGCAAGCGUUGUUCGGAAUUAUUGGGCGUAAAGGGUGCGUAGGCGGUUUGACAAGUCUUGUGUGAAAUCUCUUGGCUCAACCCAGAGUCUGCACGGGAAACUGUCGGGCUAGAGGAUGGGAGAGGUGAGUGGAAUUUCCGGUGUAGAGGUGAAAUUCGUAGAUAUCGGAAGGAACACCUGUGGCGAAAGCGGCUCACUGGACCAUUUCUGACGCUGAUGCACGAAAGCUAGGGGAGCAAACAGGAUUAGAUACCCCCGUAGUCCCUGUCUCUUAUAC
rnacentral:rRNA from 1 species